GUGCUGCUUAAGUCCCAGCCUCUUUUUCUGUUCAAGAUAUGAGGCUAUUUCUUUCAUUUUUUACAAUUACUUACAGUUACCAUUUCACUGAUUUUAAACUUUUUUUUCUAUAUUCACCAAAUGAAGUGUUUCCUGUUAAAUAUUUUUCAAAUUUGAGAAACGGUGACUCACUUGGAAAAUAAAUUUUACUGAACGUGUUUUUCAACUUGGUAGAAAGUGCUGCCUUGACUGUGAGUAGUUAUCAAAAAUACCCUUUAAAAUUAAAUGACUUUUUGUCCUUAGUCACAUUUGAAUACCUGGAAAAACAACUAUUGUUCUUUGAAAUAUCUGUAUUUUUUAACUUAAAAAGCUUACUUGAAACAUUUAUUUGCAUAAAAAUAAAGGAGUAUAUUUAUAAGUAACUACAGCUGUUAUUUGAUGAACUUAAAGGAAGCUAAAAUUUGCUUCCUUAUAGUACACCUAAAAGUUAGAGAGCCAUGCACAGCAAGAGGGUUGGUAAGACAUAAUGUCAUUUUUCAUUUGGGUUAUUCAAAUUCAUGUUUUGGUUUCUCUAAAUAAAAACUUGAAUCAUUGCUUGACAUAGCUUGGAUGUGUAUCCCUGUGCAAAUCUCAUGUUGAAAUGUAAUCCCCAAUGUUGAGGGCGGUGGAGCCUGGUGGAAGCCGAUUGGAUCAUGGGAAAGAAUUUCUUAUGAAUGAUACACUACCAUAACCUUAGUGCUGCCCUCCAGGUAGUGAGUGAAUUCUUAGGAAAUCUGGUUGCUUAAAAGUGUGUAGCACCUCCUGCUGUCCUGCAAUGACUCAAACAAUGACUCAAUUUCCUUUACAUUCAUCAAAUAAGAGUGGUAGUUACUAAUAAAUGUGCUCUUUUACUCUUUUUUUUCUCUCUGUUGCUUCUGAUUCUACCACAGGACGUGCUUGCUCCCCCUUCAUCUUCCACUAUGAUCAUCAGCUUCCUGAGGCCUCCCUGGAAGCUGAGCAGAUGUUGGCACCAUGCUUCCUGUAAAGCCUGCAGAACUGCAAGCCAAAUCUAUGGAACUGACAGAAAAUAGAAGGUUUGCUUCACAUACUGAUGAGGUACUUUGCAUCCAAAGAAACUUCAUAUCAAAAACCAAUAGCUCUGGUGAUCACAGAUGCUCAUGUCAACAAGCCUCCAUUAUCUCACAUCCCUGAGUCACUCCAAGGGCAGAUUGAUCUAAUGAUCUACGUAGGACAUGUACACGAAAUGCAAACUUUCCAUUUGUCAAGCAAGCAAAAUUUUGAAGUUACUUUAUACUGCGGAAUUACUGACCCCACUGUGACUGUCAGAAUAACAACAUGUGUCUUCAUUCGUUUCUGUAAUAACUGUGCUACCCUACCUGAUAUCUUCUGAAUAAAAGGAUAUCUAAACACUUGGACUCUGUUACCAUCUUUCCUUCAAAAUACCAUGUUAUUGAUUCUGUAUUUUAAAUUCCUCUAUUUUAAAUAUACUGAUUUUAAUAGUCAAGGCUUAUUAACCAUUAUCCAUAUGUCC
rnacentral:lncRNA from 1 species